CGUUGAGGAUGAUGAGACACGAAAAAUUUUACAGUUAUCACUGUCUGACGCACCGGGUGCUGAAAUAUGUAAAUCUGACACAACC